rnacentral:rRNA from 1 species
GUCCUGGCCGUAAACGUUGUCAACUAGUCGGUGGGAGUGUCGAUCCUUUCACUGACUGAGCUAACGCAUUAAGUUGACCGCCUGGGGAGUAUGCGCGCAAGCGUGAAACUCAAAGGAAUUGACGGGGCCCGCACAAGCGGUGGAGCAUGUGGUUUAAUUCGAUAAUAAGCGAGGAACCUUACCUGGGCUUGACAUGCAGUAGACGGUCUGCGAAAGUAGACUUCCCGCAAGGGCUGCUGCACAGGUGCUGCAUGGCUGUCGU